GGCUAUAGUUGUAAGGUGAGUUUUCUUGCAUGUCUUUAGUAAGUUUUCACAUUUUCAUCACGGUCAUCAUCUUCAUCUUCUUAUUCCAUGUGCUAUUGAAUCCUUAUUAGUUAACAAUUUUGUACUUUCCACCCCUGUUUUAAGUUUAACAGCAGACAUUUAAUAUUGUGAAAAUGAUUUUUUCGAUGAAGAAAAUACUAAACAUAAACUGCAGGAAUUUUAAAUUAAGAAAGUAACAACAAUGAGGCAGGAAAUGAGAGGUGAGAAUGAGAUUCAAGGAGAGAUAUGAGUAAUUGAUAUCUAUUGCUAACUUUUCCAGGGCUGGCCCGGUAGUUCGUCUGACAAGGUUGCAAUACAUCUGGGCAUGAGAUCUCUUCUCCUAUGUUGCUCCUGAUUCUUGUGCUUUUCUUAGGGUAGUGUUGAGAGGAGUGAAAUCUAGUCCGAACAAAGAGACUUAAAUUUAGAGGCUUUGAUUAGGGAUAAUAAUUUUGAAAUAUAAUUAGUUGCCUCAGAUGUCUCACUGUGAGUUCAUAGGUGUCUACAAGGACUAAAACACCUCCUUUUAGCUUUUCACGAUGGAACUUUUAUUACCACGUGAUCAAUUGUUUAUGUUAUGGGAUUGUGUGGAUUGAUGUUGUGUUUUGAAGGAUAUGGGGAUUUGGGCUUUGAAGAAAAGGAAAAUAAAAUAAGUUAUGGAAAGUGGGUUGUUUUGAGACCCAUAUGGAAAAUAAGAUUUAGGCACUCUGAUUUUUCAUUUAUCAUUUUUUAUUUUGAUUAAAUGAUUUUUUUUUUAAAUUUUUAAUGUCAUUCAGCAUUCCAACUAAACGGUUUUACAUGCAUUAAACAGGCAUUAAAUUAGUGCGCAAUAAAGGAGUUUAGGGAGUUGGCAGCUCAAAAUUUUGAUUUGAGUGCUUAAUAGCAAAAGUGCAAAAGAUAAAAGGCUAAUUAAUGAUUUACUCUUUUUAAUUUUAGGUAUUUUUGUUUUUAUUUUUCCUUGGAUGAAUUAUAUCACCUUUCUAAUUAAACAUGGAUGUUAGUUCUACCUUACAUGGUG
rnacentral:misc_RNA from 1 species